rnacentral:tRNA from 1 species
GGAGAGUUGCCCGAGUGGCAAGGGGCCUGGUUGCUCACCAGAGGCCGGCUGUAAUAGGUCGCGUGCGUUCGAUCCGCACACUCUCCU